UACGUAGGGGGCAAGCGUUGUCCGGAUUUAUUGGGCGUAAAGAGCGUGUAGGCGGCCAGACAGGUCCGUUGUGAAAACUCGAGGCUCAACCUCGAGAUGUCGAUGGAAACCGUCUGGCUAGAGUCCGGAAGAGGAGUGUGGAAUUCCUGGUGUAGCGGUGAAAUGCGCAGAUAUCAGGAAGAACACCUAUGGCGAAGGCAGCACUCUGGGACGGUACUGACGCUGAGACGCGAAAUCGUGGGGAGCGAACAGG
rnacentral:rRNA from 1 species